rnacentral:misc_RNA from 1 species
GGCUCAGCCUCGUAAACUUCAUCCCAAGGGACAUCUAGAUGAUCAAGAUACCAAAAACCUUGGUUACUGAAGAUGCACCUGAAGCCUUUUGCAACAACCUUUGGGCAAACCCCACCACCCAACCAGUUGUGCACUAUAGUCCUUGGAUGAAGAUUUGAUGCAAACGUAUUGAAAGUUUCCUCCCAGUUGACAGGGGUCCAACCUUUGGAAAUUGCUAUUUCUUGAGCUCUAAGUACAAAAUAUUGAUAUGCAUCCUUGGUAGUCAAGUUGCGAUCCUGAAGCCAUUGUUUCACAUGUGAAGUAGAGUUCCAACAAUCUGUGUUAACCUCAUCACCACCCAAGUGGAAGAGCUCAAAAGGGAAGAUUUUUCUCAUGUCUGUCAAAAUGCCAGAUAUCACAUCAAAGGUAAAAUUUUUUGCAACAUCCAGUGGCUCCCUACAUGAAGC